UGGGGAAUAUUGCACAAUGGGCGCAAGCCUGAUGCAGCCAUGCCGCGUGUGUGAAGAAGGCCUUCGGGUUGUAAAGCACUUUCAGCGAGGAGGAAGGUGGUGAACUUAAUACGUUCAUCAAUUGACGUUACUCGCAGAAGAAGCACCGGCUAACUCCGUGCCAGCAGCCGCGGUAAUACGGAGGGUGCAAGCGUUAAUCGGAAUUACUGGGCGUAAAGCGCACGCAGGCGGUUUGUUAAGUCAGAUGUGAAAUCCCCGGGCUCAACCUGGGAACUGCAUUUGAAACUGGCAAGCUAGAGUCUCGUAGAGGGGGGUAGAAUUCCAGGUGUAGCGGUGAAAUGCGUAGAGAUCUGGAGGAAUACCGGUGGCGAAGGCGGCCCCCUGGACGAAGACUGACGCUCAGGUGCGAAAGCGUGGGGAGCAAACAGGAUUAGAUACCCCUGGUAGUCCACGCUGUAAAACGAUGUCGAUUUUGGAGGUUGUGCCCUUGGGGCGUGGCUUCCGGAGCUAACGCGUUAAA
rnacentral:rRNA from 1 species